rnacentral:rRNA from 1 species
UCUUGGUCAUUUAGAGGAAGUAAAAGUCGUAACAAGGUUUCCGUAGGUGAACCUGCGGAAGGAUCAUUAUCGAGUUUUGAAACGGGUUGUAGCUGGCCUUCCGAGGCAUGUGCACGCCCUGCUCAUCCACUCUACACCUGUGCACUUACUGUGGGUUUCAGGAGCUUCGAAAGCGAGAAAGGGGCCUUCACGGGCUUUUUUCUUGCCUAGUUGUUACUGGGCCUACGUUUCACUACAAACACUUAUAAAGUAUCAGAAUGUGUAUUGCGAUGUAACGCAUCUAUAUACAACUUUCAGCAACGGAUCUCUUGGCUCUCGCAUCGAUGAAGAACGCAGCGAAAUGCGAUAAGUAAUGUGAAUUGCAGAAUUCAGUGAAUCAUCGAAUCUUUGAACGCACCUUGCGCUCCUUGGUAUUCCGAGGAGCAUGCCUGUUUGAGUGUCAUGAAAUUCUCAACCUAACGGGUUCUUAACGGGACUUGCUUUAGGCUUGGACUUGGAGGUUCUUGUCGGCUUGCUUCAAUGUCAAGUCGGCUCCUCUUAAAUGCAUUAGCUUGGUUCCUGUGCGGAUCGGCUCACGGUGUGAUAAUUGUCUACGCCGCGACCGUUGAAGCGUUUUUAUAGGCCAGCUUCUAGUCGUCUCUUUACGAGACAAUAAUCAUCGAACUCUGACCUCAAAUCAGG